rnacentral:rRNA from 1 species
AUUGAACGCUGGCGGCAGGCUUAACACAUGCAAGUCGAGCGGGGUGAUGGUGCUUGCACUAUCACUUAGCGGCGGACGGGUGAGUAAUGCUUAGGAAUCUGCCUAUUAGUGGGGGACAACAUUUCGAAAGGAAUGCUAAUACCGCAUACGUCCUACGGGAGAAAGCAGGGGAUCUUCGGACCUUGCGCUAAGAGAGGAGCCAAAGUCGGAUUAGCCAGUUGGUGGGGUAAAGGCCUACCAAGGCGACGAUCUGUAGCGGGUCUGAGAGGAUGAUCCGCCACCCUGGGACUGGGACACGGCCCCGACUCCUACGGGAGGCAGCAGUGGGGAAUAUUGGACAAUGGGCGGAAGCCUGAUCCAGCCAUGCCGCGUGUGUGAAGAAGGCCUUAUGGUUGUAAAGCACUUUAAGCGAGGAGGAGGCUACUUUAGUUAAUACCUAGAGAUAGUGGACGUUACUCGCAGAAUAAGCACCGGCUAACUACGUGCCAGCAGCCGCAGUAACAC